AUUGAACGCUGGCGGCAGGCCUAACACAUGCAAGUCGAGCGGAUGAAGGGAGCUUGCUCCUGGAUUCAGCGGCGGACGGGUGAGUAAUGCCUAGGAAUCUGCCUGGUAGUGGGGGAUAACGUCCGGAAACGGGCGCUAAUACCGCAUACGUCCUGAGGGAGAAAGUGGGGGAUCUUCGGACCUCACGCUAUCAGAUGAGCCUAGGUCGGAUUAGCUAGUUGGUGGGGUAAAGGCCUACCAAGGCGACGAUCCGUAACUGGUCUGAGAGGAUGAUCAGUCACACUGGAACUGAGACACGGUCCAGACUCCUACGGGAGGGCGCAGUGGGGAAUAUUGGACAAUGGGCGAAAGGCUGAUCCAGCCAUGCCGCGUGUGUGAAGAAGGUCUUCGGAUUGUAAAGCACUUUAAGUUGGGAGGAAGGGCAGUAAGUUAAUACCUUGCUGUUUUGACGUUACCAACAGAAUAAGCACCGGCUAACUUCGUG
rnacentral:rRNA from 1 species